CUGCAAAAACUCAAAGGGCAGAGGGGGGCUGAGUGUGGCCUCUGCUGCAAGUCAUUGAUGCGUUUCAUGCAUUGAAGCACCGUGCUGGGGGUCAUUGCAGCCUGUUUAACUCAGCAUUUCUUUCUUCUUUUUCGUUUUUGCAGCCUGUUCAACUUCUCCACAUUUCCCCAAGGCACCUGUAUGUUGCAGUCGUGUGGGUGGAAGCAAUCAUCAUAGAGUAAUAUUAUUUGUAAUGCCUCAUUAGUCAACUAAACCUGUGUAAAUCACUAGCUACCAGCAUACAGAUCCUGUUGAACACUAGCCUCUGAGAGUUCAGGCGGGCCGACCUGAAAGUGAAUAUUGUCCCCGUGGCUGCCGCUGCUCUGGUUCCCGACUCGUCCACCUCCACCACAGCUUUGUGCACCAUCUGCAGGGGAGACACCAGGCAUCACCAGGCCACUAGGGGCAGGUGAAGUCAUCAUAGCAAAUGGCAAAGCUUCUGCCUAUGGGCAUCAACCUCUAAGUAUCUGUUCAACUGAGCCAUGGAGCAAGUAGGAAAUGGAACAAUGGAGCAGCUACUCUGCCCCAGGCACUGUGCUGGGGGGUGACUUCGCAUGUGUCUGUCAUUGAAUUCUCAUGGCAUCUUUGAGCAAGGUGUAAUUCUUCAAUUUUAUAGAAGAGAGAAAGGAAGCUCAGAGAGUCAAGUAUUUUUUGGAGAUCACAUAGCUAGGAAGUGCCUUCUUAGUUUUGAUUGUUUAAAACAGGACUCCUUAACUCAAGGAACAGUGGUGGAUAUGGCUUCCCAUUACAUGAAGGAUAAGACACAAAGUGAAACUUUCA
rnacentral:lncRNA from 1 species